ensembl:lncRNA
CUAAACAAUAAUUUACUUGGUUUAAGGCCUUUAAACAUCCAACUUAAUGCUUUCUAGCCCCAUCUCCAAAUAUCAUCACGUUAGGGCAUCUACAUAUGAAGUUAGGGUGGGGACGCAAACUUUCAGUCCAUAACAGUGUCAUCAAAAGGCAGACGCGUGCAAGGGGCUGUCUUGAUCUUGGGCUAAAUGAUCCAGUUUCAAGAAGAGUCCCAGCACUCAGUGACCAUCCAGAUGUUUCCUUUGCAUCAUCUUAUUUGAGCCUUCAAAAGCCUGUGGACCUUUGAAGUAGGAAAAUCUGGUAUUAUUUUCUAAGUUUUGGAGCAGAGACAUGACAUGCCCAAGUCCUGAGGUCAGUAAAAGACAUGUUCUGUCUUCUGCUCAGGGUUCUUCCCUUUGAAAAGUUGGGAAUCUUAGGGCCAACUAUAAUGAACUGUGACACAGGAAAAAGAGGAAUUGUGAUCACAGUAAAAAUAACUAAGUUAACCAGAUGACUAAAACUUAAAUUAUCUUAGAGAAAUAAGAUCAUAAAACCAUGUGGGGGCUUCUAUAUUAUGAAUGUUAUAUUAGUUUACUAAGGCUGCCUUAAUAAAUUUCACAGACUAGGUGGCUUAAGGGGUUUCCCCAAUGACUCGCUGGUAAAGAAUUUGCCUGCUAAUUCAGGAGACAUGGGUUUGAUCCAGGGUCAGGAAGAUUCCCUAGAGAAGGAAAUGGCAACCCACUCCAGUAUUCUUACCUGGGAAAUCCCAUGGACAGAGGAGCCUGAUGGGCUAUAAUCCAUGGGUCGCAGAAGAGACAAACACAACUUAAAAAAUAAACAAGUGGUUUGAACAACAAAUAUGUUUAUUCACAAUUCUGGAGACUGUAAGUCUGAGAUCAAGGUUUGGCAGGAUUGGUUUCUUCCAAAGCCAUUCUCCUUGGCUUAUAGAUAGCUGUUUUCUCUUUGUCUUUACAUGGUCUUCCCUCUGUGUAUGUCUGUGUCCAAAUGUCCUCCUUUUAUAAGGACACAAUUCAGCUUGGAUUUGGACCCAGGAAAAGGAGUACAUCAAGGCUGUAUAUUGUCACCCUGCUUAUUUAACUUCCAUGCAGAGUACAUCAUGAGAAAUGCUGGGCUGGAAGAAGCACAAGCUGGAAUCAAGAUUGCCAGGAGAAAUAUCAAUAACCUCAGAUAUGCAGAUGACACCACCCUUAUGGCAGAAAGUGAGGACGAACUCAAAAGCCUCUUGAUGAAAGUGAAAGAGGAGAGUGAAAAAGUUGGCUUAAAGCUCAACAUUCAGAAAACAAAGAUCAUGGCAUCUGGUCCCAUCACUUGAUGGGAAAUAAAUGGGGAAACAGUGGAAACAGUGUCAGACUUUAUUUUUUGGGGCUCCAAAAUCACUGCAGAUGGUGACUGCAGCCAUGAAAUUAAAAGAUGCUUACUCCUUGGAAGGAAAGUUGUGACCAACCUAGAUGGCAUAUUCAAAAGCAGACACAUUACUUUGCUGACUAAGGUCCGUCUAGUCAAGACUAUGGUUUUUCCUGUGGUCGUGUAUGGAUGUGAGAGCUGGACUGUGAAGAAGGCUGAGGGCCGAAGAAUUCAUGCUUUUGAACUGUGGUGUUGGAGAAGACUCUUGAGAGUCCCUUGGACUGCAAGGAGAUCCAACCAGUCCAUUCUGAAGGAGAUCAGCCCUGGGAUUUCCUUGGAAGGAAUGAUGCUAAAGCUGAAACUCCAGUACUUUGACCACCUCAUGCGAAGGGUUGACUCAUUGGAAAAGACUGAUGCUGGGAGGGAUUGGGGGCAGGAGGAGAAGGGGACGACAGAGGAUGAGAUGGCUGGAUGGCAUCAUGGACUUGAUGGACGUGAGUCUGAGUGAACUCCGGGAGAUGGUGAUAGACAGGGAGGCCUGGCAUGCUGUGAUUCAUGGGGUCACAGAGUCGGACACGACUGAGCGACUGAACUGA